AAAGAAAAGCUGAAGAUGAUUGGCUCAUAAUUUUAUGGGACAAAUCAUACUAACAUGACACACUAUUGCGUCGUAAGACGCGGAUCUUUGUGGAAUGUUUUGAGAAGUGCCUAUAUAAGGAUGAGAUGGCUUUUCGAUGGGGAUUCUUACAACCACCCGCUCCUUCGGACAAGGAACAACUCGACUUCUGUGAAGCGUCUUUUGUACUUUUCUGGAUUCAUUACUCCAUCGCGAGAAGCAGCAUUCGCCUACAGGAACGAGUAACAUUCGCCUCCAAGGACAUGUUUUGACUAAAGAUGGUGUGGUUCUGUUGGCUUCAUCAAGCCGUGAUCUCCAGCUCUCACUGGAGUGGUUCACAGCCGAGUGUGAGCAGGCUGGGGAUGAAAAUCAGCACCUCCAAAUCUGAGACCAUGGUCCUCAGUCGGGAAAAAAGAUGGCGUGCCCUCUCCGGGUUGGUGAUGAGAUCCUGCCCCAAGUGGAGGAGUUCAAGUAUCGUGGAUUCUUGUUCACGAGUGAGGGAAGAAUGGAGGGGGGAGAGCGACAAACGGAUCGGUGCAGCUUCUUCAGAGAUGCGGACUUUGUAUUGGUCCAUUAUGGUAAGUCGAAAGG